rnacentral:lncRNA from 1 species
UAGAAGGCUGGGGGAAUCUGUGUAGUUUGGACAACCUGCAUUUGGACCAAGUGAACAAAGUAGAGCCUAGGGUCAUCUUAGAGUACAACGAAUGGAUCAAAUCAAUGAUAGAACAAGGGAGAGAAAGGACACCGUUGAUUGCCGUUAGUCUCGAGGAGCAGAAUGGGAAGCUAAGGAAAGAGCUGGAGGAUCAUCAGUUGCAGAUCAUGGUGGCCGAUCAAGCAUUGGAGGACGCCCGCUCACAAUUGAGGAAAGAGGCAAAGAAGACAGAGAAAUUGGAAAAGGCAUUGAGUGCAUUUGAUAAAAUUCAAGAUGAAAUUCGAAAACUUAGUAUCGGGAGUUCUAGGGAAUCCCAACAUACCAAACUAGCUAGACAUGAGGACUUUGUAAGAAUGGUUGGUCAAACCAUCAAUGACAUUGUAAAGAAGGAUUGAGUUUAUCCAUAUUUUAAUGAGAAAUUCCGCUUCUAUAUUCA